rnacentral:lncRNA from 1 species
GUAUUUUCCAUCCUCGUCAUCGCUCACGCCCAAUUCAUGUGGCGGUUUUUAUUUAUUUUGCAUUCUAUCCAACAACACGUCUUUCUUCUUCUCUUUCUCUCUCUCUCUUUCUCUCUCGCUCUUCUUCCACUCUUCUCUUUCUCUCUCUCUUUGUUCAAUUGAAUUAGGUCAAAUUGAGAUCCAAUUUAGAUCUAAUUAUCCUUCUCUAUUUGAAUCUGAAUUUGAAUGGAGAAGGUUCAAAAUCCUUUCUUUCAUUCUCAAUUUUGAAGGUUAGCUGAUUCUCUUUCUUUUUCUUUUUCUUUUUAUCGAUUUUAUUGAGAUUUUAUUGUAAUUAGAUGUAUUUGAUAGAUAGACUAUGAAAUUAUUGAUUGAUUUGUUUUUAUAGUUAAUUGAUAUUGAUUUUGUAAUAAUCAGAUUGAUUUGUUUGGGGAAAUUGAAUAUAUUGAAUUGGGGAUUUAGAUAAAUUAAUAUCUUAGGUGAAUUAGAGAUCAGUUAAGUAUAUAGGACUGAAAUUAGGGUUCGUUGUUCUCUUAUUUGCAUUUAGAUCUACAGCUAAACCUGUAUGAUUGAUUUGGAAUUAUUGGCAUCUGCAGUAUUGGGAAUUGGGGGUAUACAAUAGAUUGAAUUGGGAAUUGGGAGGAUAUGUAUGUUUGGUGGAUUAGGGAUCUAUUAAAUAUAUCUACGAGUGAAUUUAAGGUUUUCUGAGAUUUGGGGCUCUUUUGUGUAACUGGACAUGUAGAUUGUGUAGGACAGGAUUGGGGGAAGAUUUAGUAUGCUUUAUGUACUGAUUUGGUUUUUACGGGGGAAAUUACUGUGUAUGAAAGUUUUAGACUUUAGUGCUAUUUGGAUUGAAGCGGUUGAUCAAACUUUAUCGUUCAUUCACAUAUUUGCGGUGGGAUUUAAUAAUGCUUUGAUUGUAAGUUGUAAUUAGACGAUCUGUAGUUACAUUUAGACUGUACAAUUGCGGGUAGAUAUGAUCUUUUGUUUCUGGUAAAGUCAAAAUGUGUGCAAUGUUUUGCUGGUUAUGUGAGAGGUUGAAUAGAAUAAUCUGGGUUUGAGAGUUUUGUAUCCUGGUGAAUUAAUUGAUUGGCAUCCAUGGAUGAUAUUAGGGUUUGUUAGCCUUGAUUAUGGUCAAGCCUUUGUUUGCUUUUAACCGAUAUAAAAGCCAUUAUUGCUGAACAGGAGCUAAUUUUGUGUCUGUGUCUGUCUCUGUCUCAUCUUCCUUUAUCUUUGACGGUUUCUCAGUGUAUUAUUUUUGUUGUAAUUAGAUCUAGUGUCUGUUUUGCUUUAGCAGAAACAUUGCGAUGGGCAUCUGAUGUCUAUGUUUUGUUGUCAGUGGAUUAAAAUUCAAUUCUUCCCUAUAUUCUUAUGAUGGGUCAACAAAAUUAUUUGGGAAUGAAGGAAUUUAGUAUCUUGUCGGUGAAUUAAGGAUCCAUGCGUUGACUUUGAAUUGUUGAAGGUUUAGGGAUAGUGGUCUUGAUUAUUAUACAACAACCACUUAAUAAAUGCAUAUUGGAAGUAGGAAUUGAUUAUCUUCUAGUUGUUAGAUGUCAUCAACCAAAUUCAUCAUAUUGGAAUUGUGUUGUGGAGCAACUGGUUUUGUGAAGAAUAAUUUUUGUGGUGAGCUUUUCUUACUGUCUGGUUGCUGACUUUCCCUUUGUAAGCAUGUGGAAGUGGAACCUUAAUUUGAUUUAUUCCUUCAGAAAAUACUAAGGGAUAGUUUCAUGUGGGUUUAGAUCACAGAGAACAAAUAUCUUAGGGUAGAAGGUCAAUAUCUUGAAACCUUGUACAUUCAUCGAAUCAUUGUCAUAUGCUUUCAGUGAUUAGACCAGGAAUCAUGUGAUAACUCAGUACGUGGCAGUUGUCUUGCUGAAAUUGAACCAUAUUAUAACAGCUUGUUACACAUAGUUGGUGUAAUUGCAUAAAAUUCAUGAUAUGUGUGCGAAGAGUUUUAGUUGUUACUGUUAGUUUUGUUUUUGAUAUUGGGUUUCUUCUUUUUCAUAGCAGGAGAAGAGGUGAUAUGUGAUUUCUGAUCAAUAGAGUGAUCCUUGCUUCAUUUUGAAUUUGAAUAUUGGUAUCUUUUUCAUACUGAGAUGGGUAAAUGCAA